CCUACGGGGGGCAGCAGUGAGGAAUAUUGGUCAAUGGACGAGAGUCUGAACCAGCCAAGUAGCGUGAAGGAGGACGGCCCUAUGGGUUGUAAACUUCUUGUAUAGGGGAAUAAAAUGUGCCACGUGUGGGAUUUUGUAUGUACCAUAUGAAUAAGGAUCGGCUAACUCCGUGCCAGCAGCCGCGGUAAUACGGAGGAUCCGAGCGUUAUCCGGAUUUAUGGGGGUUAAAGGGAGCGUAGGGGGAUUGUUAAGUCAGUUGUGCAAGUUUGCGGCUCAACCGUACAAUUGCCGUUGAAACUGGCAGUCUUGAGUACAGUAGCGGUGGGCGGCAUUCGUUGUGUAGCGGU
rnacentral:rRNA from 1 species